rnacentral:rRNA from 1 species
GUCAGCGGCGGACGGGUGAGUAACACGUGGGUAACCUGCCUGUAAGACUGGGAUAACUCCGGGAAACCGGGGCUAAUACCGGAUGCUUGAUUGAACCGCAGGUUCAAUCAUAAAAGGUGGCUUUUAGCUACCACUUACAGAUGGACCCGCGGCGCAUAGCUAGUUGGUGAGGUAACGGCUCACCAAGGCGACGAUGCGUAGCCGACCUGAGAGGGUGAUCGGCCACACUGGGACUGAGACACGGCCCAGACUCCUACGGGAGGCAGCAGUAGGGAAUCUUCCGCAAUGGACGAAAGUCUGACGGAGCAACGCCGCGUGAGUGAUGAAGGUUUUCGGAUCGUAAAACUCUGUUGUUAGGGAAGAACAAGUACCGUUCGAAUAGGGCGGUACCUUGACGGUACCUAACCAGAAAGCCACGGCUAACUACGUGCCAGCAGCCGCGGUAAUACGUAGGUGGCAAGCGUUGUCCGGAAUUAUUGGGCGUAAAGCGCGCGCAGGCGGUUUCUUAAGUCUGAUGUGAAAGCCCCCGGCUCAACCGGGGAGGGUCAUUGGAAACUGGGGAACUUGAGUGCAGAAGAGGAGAGUGGAAUUCCACGUGUAGCGGUGAAAUGCGUAGAGAUGUGGAGGAACACCAGUGGCGAAGGCGACUCUCUGGUCUGUAACUGACGCUGAGGCGCGAAAGCGUGGGGAGCGAACAGGAUUAGAUACCCUGGUAGUCCACGCCGUAAACGAUGAGUGCUAAGUGUUAGAGGGUUUCCGCCCUUUAGUGCUGCAGCAAACGCAUUAAGCACUCCGCCUGGGGGAGUACGGUCGCAAGACUGAAACUCAAAGGAAUUGACGGGGGCCGCAC